ACGGAAUAGAUACCCCGGUAGUCCACGCCCUAAACGAUGCGAACUAGGUGUUGGGGAAGGAGACUUCUUUAGUACCGUAGCUAAACGCGUGAAAGUUCGCCGCCUGGGGAGUACGGUCGCAAGAUUAAAACUCAAAGGAAUUGACGGGGACCCGCACAAGCGGUGGAUGAUGUGGAUUAAUUCGAUGCAACGCGAAAAACCUUACCUACCCUUGACAUGCCCGGAACCCUGGUGAGAGCUGGGGGUGCCCGAAAGGGAAUCGGGACACAGGUGCUACAUGGCUGUCGUCAGCUCGUGUCGUGAGAUGUUGGGUUAAGUCCCGCAACGAGCGCAACCCUUGUCAUUAAUUGCCAUCAUUUGGUUGGGCACUUUAAUGAGACUGCCGGUGACAAACCGGAGGAAGGUGGGGAUGACGUCAAGUCCUCAUGGCCCUUAUGGGUAGGGCUUCACACGUCAUACAAUGGUCGGUACAGAGGGUUGCCAAGCCGCGAGGUGGAGCCAAUCCCAGAAAGCCGAUCGUAGUCCGGAUCGGAGUCUGCAACUCGACUCCGUGAAGUCGGAA
rnacentral:rRNA from 1 species